rnacentral:rRNA from 1 species
GACGAACGCUGGCGGCGUGCUUAACACAUGCAAGUCGAACGAAGUGGCGAACGGGUGAGUAAUACGUGAGUAACUGCCCUCCUUUUUGGGAUAAGCCUUGGAAACGGGGUCUAAUAACGGAUAGUGGGGGAUGACUCGCGUCCUAUCAGCUUGUUGGUGGGGUAGUGGCCUACCAAGGCGACGACGGGUAGCCGACCUGGGAGGGCGACCGGCCACAUGGGGCUGAGGUACGGCCCAAACUCCUACGGGAGGCAGCGGGGGGGAGUAUUGCGCAGUGGGGGAAACCCUGAUGCAGCAGCGCCGGGGGCGGGAUGACGGCCUUCGGGUUGUAAACCGCUUUCAGCCAUGACGCGGUAGUGGCAGAAGAAGCACCGGCUAACUACGUGCCAGCAGCCGCGGUAAUAC